AAGCAGAAAGGGGUGUGGUGGGGUCAUCUCUCUGUAAGUUCACUUAUGGAGCAGUCUGCCUCAGGCCAGCGCCAAAACAGAGAUGGAAGCUCCAUCUGGCUAGCAAGCAGUGCAUUUCUGAAGAGAGAGAUGUCAGAGCUCAGGACCCUCUAGAAGGCCCAUCUUGUGGCUUGGAAGCUACAUCCCAGACCCGUGGGGUUGGCAGUGGUUGUGCUGUAGGGGUGAGAUGCACUCCAUGCCUGCUCAGAGGCACUGCUUUAUGACAACUGUGGGCAUUUCUAGGUGCAGGUUUAGUCUCUGAUUUUCACACUUCGUUCAUUCACUCUUGAAUGAAGGAAGUUCACAACUUUGUCAUUUGGGUGGUUCACAUGAGAGCAUCUUCCAGCUGUUGCUCAGCUGCAUUCUCUUUGAGCUCAAAUGGGUUGCAUUUGUUGAUGCUGAAAAAUCAACGUUUUCGCACACAGCUGUACAGCAGUGGAAUGAUAGCUUUGUGAACUAUUGCAAGCAUUACCGGUAGAAGGAGGAGUCUGUCAACUGCAUCCGAGAUGUUCUGCUAAUGUGCACUUCAAAUGCCCCCAAACAACUCUAUCUACUGUGGUGUGGAACUCUGGAUCUCCACACACGACAUGAUGUAGAGCGUUGGCACUGCAAUCAAGUGUCUGAAAGUGCCCUUUGUGGCGAGGAUGGAAACACUGGUUGCUCGUGUUUCCAAGCAGAAUUCAAAGUGCUGGUGAUGCUUACCUUUAAAGCCCACUUCAGAUAUGGGUACCUGUCUUCUCCCUGAUGAACUGGCCCAAGUGUGAAGGUCAUCUUCUCUGGGUGGCCCUGCCUAUAGCUGUAGCGACUGGAGAAAGAAUCUUCUCAGCUGUGACCUCCCAGGAUGGCUCACUUAGCACAGAGUCUCAUGCAUUUCUGGCACAGCAGGAGCCCUGGCCACUUACCCAGGCCUUUAAACAAUCUUCACUGGUGCCGAUAAUUCUGCUGAAUCAGAUGCGACUGAAUGAUCGAUUGCUUCCAAUGCAGACACCAAGCAGAACUACCUGCCUUAUUCUGCUGUGUGUCUACCCACUGCAUCUCUGCACGAGUCCUGUGCAUGGCUUAGCUCUUCUAAAGUCGUCCAAGACCCUGAUGUGCAUACAAGAUCCACCUCACCUGGAGUGCAGGUGGCUGACUCCAUCCAUGGAUCUGCAUCCG